GAUGGACGCUGGCGGCGUGCCUAAUACAUGCAAGUCGAGCGAACGGACGAGAAGCUUGCUUCUCUGAUGUUAGCGGCGGACGGGUGAGUAACACGUGGAUAACCUACCUAUAAGACUGGGAUAACUUCGGGAAACCGGAGCUAAUACCGGAUAAUAUUUUGAACCGCAUGGUUCAAAAGUGAAAGACGGUCUUGCUGUCACUUAUAGAUGGAUCCGCGCUGCAUUAGCUAGUUGGUAAGGUAACGGCUUACCAAGGCAACGAUGCAUAGCCGACCUGAGAGGGUGAUCGGCCACACUGGAACUGAGACACGGUCCAGACUCCUACGGGAGGCAGCAGUAGGGAAUCUUCCGCAAUGGGCGAAAGCCUGACGGAGCAACGCCGCGUGAGUGAUGAAGGUCUUCGGAUCGUAAAACUCUGUUAUUAGGGAAGAACAUAUGUGUAAGCAACUGUGCACAUCUUGACGGUACCUAAUCAGAAAGCCACGGCUAACUACGUG
rnacentral:rRNA from 1 species